GUUUUUAUAAUUUAAUUUAAAAUAUUGAUCUUGUAAAUCAAAUUUAAGAGACUUUCUUUAAAAACU
rnacentral:tRNA from 1 species